rnacentral:rRNA from 1 species
AGGGUUCCCAAGAAUAAGCCAUGCACGUCUAAGUAUAAAUGAUAUACAGUGAAACUGCGAAUGGCUCAUUAAAACAGUUAUAGUUUAUUUGGUAAUCGAAUUUACAUGGAUAACCGUGGUAAUUCUAGAGCUAAUACAUGCUGUAAAGCCCGACUUCACGGAAGGGCCGUAUUUAUUAGAUAACAGACCAAUAUUCCUCGUGUCUAUUGUGGUGAAUCAUAAUAACUAAUCGGAUCGCAUGGGCUAGUCCCGCGACAAACCAUUCAAGUUUCUGCCUCAUCAGCUUUCGAUGGAAGCGUAUUGGACUACCAAGGCUUUUACGGGUAACGGAGGAUUAAGGUUCGAUUCCGGAAAGGGAGCCUGAAAAACGGCUACCACAUCUUAACGAAGGCAGCAGGCGCGUAAAUUACCCAAUCCUAAUUCAGGGAGGUAUUGACAGA